AUUGAACGCUGGCGGCAGGCCUAACACAUGCAAGUCGAGCGGGGUUUUCGGACCUAGCGGCGGACGGGUGAGUAAUGCGUAGGAAGCUACCCGAUAGAGGGGGAUACCAGUUGGAAACGACUGUUAAAACCGCAUAAUGUCUACGGACCAAAGUGUGGGACCUUCGGGCCACAUGCUAUCGGAUGCGCCUACGUGGGAUUAGCUAGUUGGUGAGGUAAUGGCUCACCAAGGCGACGAUCCCUAGCUGGUUUGAGAGGAUGAUCAGCCACACUGGAACUGAGCCGCGGCGCAGACUCCUACGGGAGGCAGCAGUGGGGAAUCUUGGACAAUGGGCGCAAGCCUGCUCCAGCCAUGCCGCGUGUGUGAAGAAGGCCUUCGGGUUGUAAAGCACUUUCAGUAGGGAGUAAGGGUUAAGUGUUAAUAGUACUUAACUUUGACGUUACCUACAGAAGAAGCACCGGCUAACUCUGUGCCAGCCGCCGCCGUAAAAC
rnacentral:rRNA from 1 species